rnacentral:rRNA from 1 species
GAUGAACGCUGGCGGCGUGCCUAAUACAUGCAAGUCGAGCGAACAGACGAGGAGCUUGCUCCUCUGACGUUAGCGGCGGACGGGUGAGUAACACGUGGAUAACCUACCUAUAAGACUGGGAUAACUUCGGGAAACCGGAGCUAAUACCGGAUAAUAUAUUGAACCGCAUGGUUCAAUAGUGAAAGACGGUUUUGCUGUCACUUAUAGAUGGAUCCGCGCCGCAUUAGCUAGUUGGUAAGGUAACGGCUUACCAAGGCAACGAUGCGUAGCCGACCUGAGAGGGGGGACGGGCACAAUGGAAACGGGGAAAGGGUCAAAAUCCUAAGGGAAGCAGGAAGAGGGGAAUUUUCGGAAAGGGGGGAAGGCUGAACGAGGAAAGGCGGGGGAGGGAAGAAAGGUUUUGGAACGGAAAAACUUGUUAAUAAGGAAAAAAAAAAGGGGAAAGAAACAAGGAAGGUUUGAAGGUAACUAAACAAGAAAGCAAGGGCAAAUUAGGU